AAGAUCCCGAGUGUCCUCUUAUCAACUGUGUAUCAGGAUGGAACGCUGGAUGCUUGAUCACUAAAGACCAAUGUCAGUGCUUCUGUGUGGAAAAAGAAAGUCCUUGUGAAUUUAUCGCUGAGAACUUUCAAAGCAGCUGCACACCUGACCAAUUUAUUGAUUGCAACCCAGAUGUCUCUCCUUGCAUGUGUCGUUGCACUCUCAGGUAGUACCCGCACCAAUGUCGGACCUUUUGAUCCAGCCCC